UACGAAGGGGGCUAGCGUUGUUCGGAAUCACUGGGCGUAAGGGGCGCGUAGGCGGCCGAUCAAGUCGGGGGUGAAAGCCUGUGGCUCAACCACAGAAUUGCCUUCGAUACUGUUUGGCUUGAGACCGGAAGAGGUUAGUGGAACUGCGAGUGUAGAGGUGAAAUUCGUAGAUAUUCGCAAGAACACCAGUGGCGAAGGCGGCUGACUGGUCCGGUUCUGACGCUGAGACGCGAAAGCGUGGGGAGCGAACAGG
rnacentral:rRNA from 1 species